GGCCCCAUCGUCCAGUGGUCCAGGACACCGGACUUUCGAUCCGGCAACCGGGGUUCGACUCCCCGUGGGGUCA
rnacentral:tRNA from 1 species